rnacentral:rRNA from 1 species
CUGAUCUCAAAUCAGGUAGGACUACCCGCUGAACUUAAGCAUAUCAAUAAGCGGAGGAAAAGAAACUAACAAGGAUUCCCCUAGUAACUGCGAGUGAAGCGGGAAAAGCUCAAAUUUAAAAUCUGGCAGUCUUUGAUUGUCCGAGUUGUAGUCUAGAGAAGUGUCUUCCGUGCUGGACCGUGUACAAGUCCCUUGGAACAGGGCGUCACAGAGGGUGAGAAUCCCGUCUUUGACACGGACUACCAGUGCUUUGUGAUGCACUCUCAAAGAGUCGAGUUGUUUGGGAAUGCAGCUCAAAAUGGGUGGUAAAUUCCAUCUAAAGCUAAAUAUUGGCGAGAGACCGAUAGCGAACAAGUACCGUGAGGGAAAGAUGAAAAGCACUUUGGAAAGAGAGUUAAACAGUACGUGAAAUUGCUGAAAGGGAAACGCUUGAAGUCAGUCGCGUUGGUCAGAACUCAGCCUUGCCUUUUGGCUUGGUGUACUUUCUGAUUGACGGGUCAGCGUCUUUUUUGACCGCAGGAGAAAGGUCAGAGGAAUGUGGCAUCUUCGGAUGUGUUAUAGCCUCUGACUGCAUGCUGUGGUUGGGACUGAGGAACUCAGCACGCGCAAGCUGUGCUUAGGAUGCUGGCGUAAUGGCUUUAAGCGACCCGUCUUGAAACACGGACCAAGGAGUCUAACAUGCCUGCGAGUGUUUGGGUGGAAAACCCGAUCGCGCAAUGAAAGUGAAAGUUGGGAUCUCUGUCGCGGAGAGCACCGACGCCCGGACCAGACCUUCUGUGACGGAUCUGCGGUAGAGCAUGUAUGUUGGGACCCGAAAGAUGGUGAACUAUGCCUGAAUAGGGUGAAGCCAGAGGAAACUCUGGUGGAGGCUCGUAGCGAUUCUGACGUGCAAAUCGAUCGUCAAAUUUGGGUAUAGGGGCGAAAGACUAAUCGAACCAUCUAGUAACUGGUUCCUGC